UGUUAAAAAUUUCAUCUAUUUUUAUUGUUAAAAACUGGCAUGACUGGCAGAAUAACAAGAUAGUUAUACAUAACAUGCCACAUGUACCUCGUUCUGAUGUAUAGUGACCAGUUUUUAUCGGUAGAAAUGAAUGAAUUUUUUAUCA
rfam:Gossypium raimondii Chr01_contig_1213, whole genome shotgun sequence.